rnacentral:rRNA from 1 species
GACGAACCGUGCGACCGUUGUUCGGAUUCACUGGGCUUAAAGGGCGCGUAGGCGGACAAGCAAGUCAAGGGUGAAAUCUUUCAGCUUAACUGGAAACGUGCCUUUGAUACUGCUUGUCUCGAGGGAGGUAGGGGUCUGUGGAACUUCCGGUGGAGCGGUGAAAUGCGUUGAUAUCGGAAGGAACGCCGGUGGCGAAAGCGACGGACUGGAUCUCUUCUGACGCUGAGGCGCGAAAGCCAGGGGAGCAAACGGG